AUUAACAGAAGUAAAUGUAAGACAAUAUGGAUUGGUGGUGGCCAGACAAAGAAAUUGAUGCUCUUGUUUAUCCUCAAGGAAGACGGCCAAAGAAGGUGAUGGAUCCACAACACUUUCAAUGAGUGGAAGAUGAUUUGGUUAAAUGGGAUUGUUCUUGUUUGGAAAAAGGAGAGAAAUAGAGAGCUAUUGAUGGCAGUAAGAGUUGGUGACUAAAAUGGCAAGGUUCGUGCUUGGAGGGUGGUUGAAAAAUUGUCUCAACAAAAUCCCUUGUGAUUUGAAGGAGCUAAUGCACAGAUUCUUCUGCAACAUUUUUGUAGUAUGUUUUAACUGGCAGUACUCAGUUCUAGCCAUCACGGGGGUUGAACAUCUAAAAUGUUGGCUCAACUGAGGGAAGAGUUGGUGUCCAUCAUUUGGAUUUGGAUGAUUCUCAGCAAGAGAAAAACUUCACCUUCAAAUGUAUAGAAUUCUUGCUGCGAUUGAAGCA